rnacentral:pre_miRNA from 1 species
GAGGUACUCCUUUCGUCCGAGAAUAUUUGUUUUAAAGAUGAAUGUAUCUAAACUUACUUUAGUUACAGUUGCAUCCAUCAUAUCCAUUUCUAAAACAAGUAUUUUCGAACGAAGAAAGUAAUAG